AUCACCAUUCUCCUUUUCAGGUUAAUCCUUAUUGCUGCUGUUCAACUUGAUCUUGGUGAAACGGAGGAGAGAUUUAUAUUUCCUAGGAUUCAACAUAUUCAUAACCACGUCAUGUGCAAAUAUUUUCAAUGGAGGUAGCUGGUGGUGUGUUGGAGGUUGAUCCGAGUCUCUCGUUUGGUUAUUAAGACCGACCAGGCCCAAAAAAUGCUGAUAAGAGAAGUACGGCGUAGCUUCGUCACGUCCGUAGUAACUUACAAGUCUGACAGGUAUGCCAUGCCUUAUCAUCAUAUUGGUGUGUAUCAUACCUGGUCCAGCGUUAGCGAUUCCAGUACCUGUUCCAACGGCUUGGCCGUUUUGUACUGCACCAUUACCUGCACCUCCAGCAUUG